GUUUAAAAUAAAUGGCAUUGUUCCUCUGAGGCUCUGUUCAGCACUCAGUAAAUACACAAUACUUGAACUACCAGAGUGUAGUAAGUCUGGUUUUGGGGUACACCAGUGAUUUGUCACUACAUUGAAAUUAUUUUUUGAUAAAUUUUUUUUGUUUUGGUACCAGGUAUCAAACUCAGGACCUUGCGCAUGUGAGGAAGGUGGCAGCACCACUGAGCUAAAUCCCCAGCCCCUCAAAAGUAUUCUAUUACAGUAAAAUACACAUCAUAAAUUCUGGAAGUUUCCUGCUGCCAUGUUACCUGGAAAAGUUUGGAAUUCUCUGCUGCUGAUACCCAUAGAAGAGGUGCCGGUGAUCACCAAAGCAAGCAGCCUUAGGAGCAAACCUGAGCUCCCGGAUUCCCGGAGGAGGUGCUUAACUCCAGCACAGAAAGAACACAAUGGAGAACAUAUUCCAGACUGCCGAGCUUGCUGCUAA
rnacentral:lncRNA from 1 species